rnacentral:rRNA from 1 species
UACGGAGGGUGCAAGCGUUAUCCGGAUUCACUGGGUUUAAAGGGUGCGUAGGUGGGCAGUUAAGUCAGUGGUGAAAUCUCCGGGCUUAACCCGGAAACUGCCAUUGAUACUAUCUGUCUUGAAUACCGUGGAGGUGAGCGGAAUAUGUCAUGUAGCGGUGAAAUGCUUAGAUAUGACAUAGAACACCAAUUGCGAAGGCAGCUCACUACACGAAUAUUGACACUGAGGCACGAAAAGCGUGGGGAUCAAACAGG